rnacentral:rRNA from 1 species
UACAGAGAGUGCGAACGUUGUUCGGAAUCACUGGGCAUAAAGCGCACGUAGGCGGCACCAUAAGUGCGAGGUGAAAUCCCACGGCUUACCCGUGGAACUGCUUUGCAGACUGUGGUGCUAGAGGAUGGUAGGGGAGAGCGGAACUCUUGGUGGAGCGGUGAAAUGCGUAGAGAUCAAGAGGAACACCGGUGGCGAAGGCGGCUCUCUGGUCCAUAUCUGACGCUGAGGUGCGAAAGCUAGGGGAGCAAACGGG